GGGGUCCCUGCGCGGAAGGGGGUGCUGAGUGGGGUGCCUGGCUGGCACCCACUUACUGGACUGCUCAGGGAGGGAUGUGGACCCCCAGGUACGUGCCAAAGGGCCUCGAGGACAGCUUCUGGGGGCCUGUGGGUUGUAUGAGCAGCCUUGAAAUCCGUUUGCAGCAAGGCCUGCAGUGGGAAACAAAGAGGCAGAAAAUGUUGGGAGCCCAAGGAGAGCCUGAAAUACAGAGAGAGGCAUUGAGCUUCCCGGAGAUGCUUCAGCUCCUCAGUGGGGAACAGAGUGGUAUCCUUUUUGGGCUGGAUCCGUGCAGCUGAGGGCUGGACUGUACAGCCCACACUGAAUCAGAUGCAUUGUGUGCAAAUGAAUAAGCGCACAUUGUUUUGAAAUGCUGCUAUUGUGUUUGGGCUAGGGGGAGGAGGUGGCUGCAUUUUGCGUGCGUGCAUGUCUGUGGGCUUUCUAAAGGUAAGUGCAGAUUGCAAGAGUUGCUGCUCUGUUUUUGUUUGUCAAACAGGGCCCUUCUCUUGGGAGAGGGGCAUGUGGCGGAUCCCAGCCCAGGAUUACAUUAAUCAAAGCAUUAUUUCCCCAGGGAUGCGCAGCACAAAUGAUAGUAAAUCCUAAUAAAAUUGGAUCGCUGAGAAAUUGAACGCUUAAAGUAAUCUGCUCUGCCUGAUAAAAACUUCAAAUUUAUAAGAUAUUAUGCAUCCCCACCCCCAAACACCUCAGGUAUCACCUCUGUGUGUGUGCAUUACGCAUCUAUCUGGAGGAGAGAAAGCACUGCUCAGGUUUACA